GGGUUGUGAGGUUAAGCGACUAAGCGUACACGGUGGAUGCCCUGGCAGUCAGAGGCGAUGAAGGGCGUGCUAAUCUGCGAUAAGCGCCGGUAAGGUGAUAUGAACCGUUAUAACCGGCGAUACCCGAAUGGGGAAACCCAGUGUGACUCGUCACACUAUCAUUAACUGAAUCCAUAGGUUAAUGAGGCGAACCGGGGGAACUGAAACAUCUAAGUACCCCGAGGAAAAGAAAUCAACCGAGAUUCCCCCAGUAGCGGCGAGCGAACGGGGAGGAGCCCAGAGCCUGAAUCAGCAUGUGUGUUAGUGGAAGCGUCUGGAAAGGCGCGCGAUACAGGGUGACAGCCCCGUACACAAAAGCGCAUGUGCUGUGAGCUCGAUGAGUAGGGCGGGACACGUGGUAUCCUGUCUGAAUAUGGGGGGACCAUCCUCCAAGGCUAAAUACUCCUGACUGACCGAUAGUGAACCAGUACCGUGAGGGAAAGGCGAAAAGAACCCCGGCGAGGGGAGUGAAAAAGAACCUGAAACCGUGUACGUACAAGCAGUGGGAGCACCCUUUGGGGUGUGACUGCGUACCUUUUGUAUAAUGGGUCAGCGACUUAUAUUCUGUAGCAAGGUUAACCGAAUAGGGGAGCCGGAGGGAAACCGAGUCUUAAUUGGGCGUUAAGUUGCAGGGUAUAGACCCGAAACCCGGUGAUCUAGCCAUGGGCAGGUUGAAGGUUGGGUAACACUAACUGGAGGACCGAACCGACUAAUGUUGAAAAAUUAGCGGAUGACCUGUGGCUGGGGGUGAAAGGCCAAUCAAACCGGGAGAUAGCUGGUUCUCCCCGAAAGCUAUUUAGGUAGCGCCUCGUGAAUUCAUCUCCGGGGGUAGAGCACUGUUUCGGCUAGGGGGCCAUCCCGGCUUACCAACCCGAUGCAAACUGCGAAUACCGGAGAAUGUUAUCACGGGAGACACACGGCGGGUGCUAACGUCCGUCGUGAAGAGGGAAACAACCCAGACCGCCAGCUAAGGUCCCAAAGUCAUGGUUAAGUGGGAAACGAUGUGGGAAGGCCCAGACAGCCAGGAUGUUGGCUUAGAAGCAGCCAUCAUUUAAAGAAAGCGUAAUAGCUCACUGGUCGAGUCGGCCUGCGCGGAAGAUGUAACGGGGCUAAACCAUGCACCGAAGCUGCGGCAGCGACACUAUGUGUUGUUGGGUAGGGGAGCGUUCUGUAAGCCUGUGAAGGUGUGUCGUGAGGCAUGCUGGAGGUAUCAGAAGUGCGAAUGCUGACAUAAGUAACGAUAAAGCGGGUGAAAAGCCCGCUCGCCGGAAGACCAAGGGUUCCUGUCCAACGUUAAUCGGGGCAGGGUGAGUCGACCCCUAAGGCGAGGCCGAAAGGCGUAGUCGAUGGGAAACGGGUUAAUAUUCCCGUACUUGGUGUUACUGCGAAGGGGGGACGGAGAAGGCUAUGUUGGCCGGGCGACGGUUGUCCCGGUUUAAGCGUGUAGGUGUGUGUUCCAGGUAAAUCCGGUUCACUUUAACACUGAGGCGUGACGACGAGGCACUACGGUGCUGAAGCAACAAAUGCCCUGCUUCCAGGAAAAGCCUCUAAGCAUCAGGUAACAUCAAAUCGUACCCCAAACCGACACAGGUGGUCAGGUAGAGAAUACCAAGGCGCUUGAGAGAACUCGGGUGAAGGAACUAGGCAAAAUGGUGCCGUAACUUCGGGAGAAGGCACGCUGACACGUAGGUGAAGUGAUUUACUCAUGGAGCUGAAGUCAGUCGAAGAUACCAGCUGGCUGCAACUGUUUAUUAAAAACACAGCACUGUGCAAACACGAAAGUGGACGUAUACGGUGUGACGCCUGCCCGGUGCCGGAAGGUUAAUUGAUGGGGUCAGCGCAAGCGAAGCUCCUGAUCGAAGCCCCGGUAAACGGCGGCCGUAACUAUAACGGUCCUAAGGUAGCGAAAUUCCUUGUCGGGUAAGUUCCGACCUGCACGAAUGGCGUAAUGAUGGCCAGGCUGUCUCCACCCGAGACUCAGUGAAAUUGAACUCGCUGUGAAGAUGCAGUGUACCCGCGGCAAGACGGAAAGACCCCGUGAACCUUUACUAUAGCUUGACACUGAACAUUGAGCCUUGAUGUGUAGGAUAGGUGGGAGGCUUUGAAGUGUGGACGCCAGUCUGCAUGGAGCCGGCCUUGAAAUACCACCCUUUAAUGUUUGAUGUUCUAACGUGGACCCGUGAUCCGGGUUGCGGACAGUGUCUGGUGGGUAGUUUGACUGGGGCGGUCUCCUCCUAAAGAGUAACGGAGGAGCACGAAGGUUGGCUAAUCCUGGUCGGACAUCAGGAGGUUAGUGCAAUGGCAUAAGCCAGCUUGACUGCGAGCGUGACGGCGCGAGCAGGUGCGAAAGCAGGUCAUAGUGAUCCGGUGGUUCUGAAUGGAAGGGCCAUCGCUCAACGGAUAAAAGGUACUCCGGGGAUAACAGGCUGAUACCGCCCAAGAGUUCAUAUCGACGGCGGUGUUUGGCACCUCGAUGUCGGCUCAUCACAUCCUGGGGCUGAAGUAGGUCCCAAGGGUAUGGCUGUUCGCCAUUUAAAGUGGUACGCGAGCUGGGUUUAGAACGUCGUGAGACAGUUCGGUCCCUAUCUGCCGUGGGCGCUGGAGAACUGAGGGGGGCUGCUCCUAGUACGAGAGGACCGGAGUGGACGCAUCACUGGUGUUCGGGUUGUCAUGCCAAUGGCACUGCCCGGUAGCUAAAUGCGGAAGAGAUAAGUGCUGAAAGCAUCUAAGCACGAAACUUGCCCCGAGAUGAGUUCUCCCUGAGACUUAGAGUCUCCUGAAGGAACGUUGAAGACGACGACGUUGAUAGGCCGGGUGUGUAAGCGCAGCGAUGCGUUGAGCUAACCGGUACUAAUGAACCGUGAGGCUUAACCUUACAACGCCGAAG
rnacentral:rRNA from 1 species